UUUGAUCCUGCUCAGAACGAACGCUGGCGGCAGGCUUAACACAUGCAAGUCGAGCGCCCCGCAAGGGGAGCGGCAGACGGGUGAGUAACGCGUGGGAAUCUACCUAGCUCUACGGAAUAACCCAGGGAAACUUGGACUAAUACCGUAUACGUCCUUCGGGAGAAAGAUUUAUCGGAGUUGGAUGAGCCCGCGUUGGAUUAGCUAGUUGGUGGGGUAAUGGCCUACCAAGGCGACGAUCCAUAGCUGGUCUGAGAGGAUGAUCAGCCACACUGGGACUGAGACACGGCCCAGACUCUACGGGAGGCAGCAGUGGGGAAUAUUGGACAAUGGGCGAAAGCCUGAUCCAGCCAUGCCGCGUGAGUGAUGAAGGCCCUAGGGUUGUAAAGCUCUUUCAACGGUGAAGAUAAUGACGGUAACCGUAGAAGAAGCCCCGGCUAACUUCGUGCCAGCAGCCGCGGUAAUACGAAGGGGGCUAGCGUUGUUCGGAAUUACUGGGCGUAAAGCGCACGUAGGCGGACUAUUAAGUCAGGGGUGAAAUCCCGGGGCUCAACCCCGGAACUGCCUUUGAUACUGGUAGUCUAGAGUCCGAGAGAGGUGAGUGGAAUUCCGAGUGUAGAGGUGAAAUUCGUAGAUAUUCGGAGGAACACCAGUGGCGAAGGCGGCUCACUGGCUCG
rnacentral:rRNA from 1 species